rnacentral:piRNA from 1 species
UCUGCGCCCAGCCCACGUUGU